rnacentral:tRNA from 1 species
UCCCAUGUGGCUCAGUUGGUAGAGCAUGGUGUUUGCAACACCAGGGUUGUGGGUUUGAUUCCCACGGGGGAC